AUUCGUAUUCAUGUAGCACUGCCGUAUAGUAUAUUUGGUGUGAUUUGCCUUCAAGCAGCUGUACUGGGAUUAUUCUUACCAGAGACCAAGGGUGCGCCAACCUUGGAGACAAUGGAUGAUAUGAAUACAAGAAAUGGAAUGGCUUUGCAUGUGAUUUCCAACGAUAAACAAACUCGAGAAGAAACCUAACACAGUAGUACUAGUAUAGUAACAUUGCUUCAUAAUAGACCUUGUCGCAGUUUUUCUAAAUUUUUAUAUGGCCAAGCUUCAAUCAUGGCAAGCUUCAAUCAUGGCAAAAACUAAUGAAACACCUCGGUUGAUUUAGUGUUUAAAUUUGUCCUUACCUCCCUCCUUACAAUGUUGGUUAGCUAAGUUAAAACAUGGGACGAUGGUGUUCUUUGCAAUCGACAAACCUACUCUACUCCGUAUUAUUCACAAUGUAAUAUCAACAUUGUUCGGGGGAAGGGGAGAGGGUUGCAUUGUUUCUGAGGGUUGCAUUGUUUCUUUUUGCCAGCAUUGUUGGUAGAAAAAUAUUGUAAAAUAAGGGUAAUAUGCAGGUUCGUCUUGCAAAGUUUGCACAUUUUAAAUACUUUUAUAUUGCGGGAAAAUAUUCACUUCGCGAUAUAAAAACGCAAAGCUGUAGAUCGUAUUAUCCUUAUUUUAUAAUAUAUUACCACCAAACUUUGCAAUUUUAUACUUGAUUUUUUUAGCUUUUCGGCUUUGUGUUCCAUUUUCAGUUCUUUGCUUAAAUAAAUAAAUGAAAAAACCGUGUAAAGGUCUAUAUUUAUUUCGCCGAAAAAGCCGUUCAAUGGCGGCAAGCUAUUAAUAAGUUUUAUAUAAAACUUUUUUUUUACCUGAGGAUACAUUUGUUACAAAUAUCACUGCAAGUGGAAUUUAUAACAGCUAUUUUAUUCACUAUAAAAAUCAGACCUCAUUACUAUUUUAUUCAAUACUAGAAUCUAAGUGUAGUAUUGUUUGUAUCAAUUUUUUCCCUGAUAAUCACAGAAAAUUGAAAAGUUAAAUUUUCUCGGGGGGGGGGGGUGUUUCACUGCUUCCCACCCCCACCCUUCCGGCUGCAAACAGCCCUGUUAGAUGUGAGUAGUAUGGUCCUACAAUUACAACUGUAAAUAUUUUAAUCUGGAAUGACCAUUUUAGCGCAAAUUGCCGAUAUAUCAAUGACCUGUUUAUGCACGCA